CUUGUUUGUAGUUUUUCUCUAUGUAUUUUUAAAUAGCACCAAAGGAUGCUUGAGUUUGUGGAUAAAUAUGAUUAAGUCUUCUGUUGCUCCAGUCCUUAGUGAGGCUGCCUUAAAUCACAGCUGGAGCAGUUUUUGACCAAUAUCUGUACCCUCUGGACUUAAAUCUGCUCGGAUGUGCCCCUACAGAACAUUUCAAACCGAUAGGACCUGCAGUAACAGGAUAGAAAAUGGUCCCCAGCACCUCACCCUACUCCUCUGCACCCUCUGCUCAGGCUCUGCCAUUUUUGCAGCCAUGCAUCAUAUCUGUCUGUGGCUCACAGGUGCGUGAUCUCCAUGACGACUUGGGCACUUGAAGUAGAAAUAUGAGCUGCAUCAUCUCCCCCUGUUGUCCAUCGACAUGAAAUGCAGUGUUCUGAAACAUGAGAAAGGCAAUACAUUUCCUCCAGUUCUUUGUAAGCUGAUACGAAGUAGACAGACACCUUCUGAAGUUUUGUGCAUGCUGUGCUCUUUUUUUCUUUGCUGCAACAAGAAAAGUCUUUUCUUUUAACCUGGCUUACUUUGAAGAAGUAACUCAGGAAGCUUCAUGGCCUCUCAAGAAUCUCAACAACAAACAACCACAGUCUUUAAGGAUUACCUCCCUGGUUCUUCUGGCCUUCCUGAACAAGAUAAGCCUGUUGAACCCACAAGCCUCUGGAAGCAAACAUCACAUGCUCAUAACUUGCCACCUGGUCUGGAGUAUCUGAAUCAGGUCCUGGAUAUUUUCAAAUGCUAAAACUGUUCUGUUUUCAUCAUAGACUGAUAAAUUUGGGGGGUGGGGGAGUGUUCUUUUUUUUUUUUUUUUUUUUCCUUGUGAAGAGGGAGUUGGAGAAGGGGAAGCUUUUUGGUUGUCUGAUAUUACUAUGAAAUAAGGAACAUAGGACUAAUAAGCUCUUCCUUCAUUGCUGCCAUUCAUUUUUAUGGAAAACCAUUUGUUGUACAGUUCUCCUUGCCCCCCAAACACAAUUUUCUUCUCUCUAGGACUUGCUUUUUCCUGAUCAUAACUUUUAUCCCUCUCAUUGUCCUGCCCAGAUUCCUUCCAGCUCCUUAAGAGCUCACUUCCAGGGAAACCACUGCCAACCUCCGUCUGACCUCAAAACUAGUCUGGUUGAUGAAAACAAGCAGUGUGCUGAAGGAACUGUCACAUUCCAUCCUUUUGGGAACAUGCAGGUCUUCUGAGCAAAUUCCUUGUGCCCA
rnacentral:lncRNA from 1 species